rnacentral:rRNA from 1 species
AUUGAACGCUGGCGGCAUGCCUUACACAUGCAAGUCGAACGGUAACGGGCCUUCGGGUGCCGACGAGUGGCGAACGGGUGAGUAAUGUAUCGGAACGUACCUUUCAGUGGGGGAUAACGUAGCGAAAGUUACGCUAAUACCGCAUAUUCUGUGAGCAGGAAAGCAGGGGAUCGCAAGACCUUGCGCUGAUUGAGCGGCCGAUAUCAGAUUAGCUAGUUGGUGAGGUAAAGGCUCACCAAGGCGACGAUCUGUAGGGGGUCUGAGGGGAUGAUCCGCGACACUGGAACUGAGUCGCGGUCCAGACUCCUACAGGAGGCAGCAGUGGGGAAUUUUGGACAAUGGGGGCAACCCUGAUCCAGCCAUGCCGCGUGAGUGAAGAAGGCCUUCGGGUUGUAAAGCUCUUUCGGCCGGGAAGAAAUCGUAUCAGCUAAUACCUGGUGCGGAUGACGGUACCGGCAUAAGAAGCACCGGCUAACUACGUGCCAGCCGCCGCAGUAACAC